AGCAGCAUGGCGCAGUGGUAGCGCGCGGGGCCCAUAUCCAUUCGUACUGGAACCCCGAGGUCACUUGAUCGAAACAAGUUGCUGCUA